AUUCCAUGAUGGGGAUGUUCUAGAAUGUUGUCUUGAAAGCGCUCCCAUGCUUCUGGAACGGAUUCAUCAUUUUGUUGCUGAAAACUUGUAAUCUUCCCACGGAGAGC
rnacentral:snoRNA from 1 species